rnacentral:lncRNA from 1 species
ACAAGAAAAACACAGUACUAGUAAUUGGGCUUGUGGCUUGAUUGAACCAUACAAUUUAUCAUCGAUAAGAGGGGUGCAAGCACAUACCAUGAAUUUCUAUUUAAGUAAAAAAAAAAGGCGGUCCAGUGCACGAAGCAUUUCGUGGUCAGGUGUGGCUGGUGAAGGGCAUCACCUCGAGGGUUGUGAUGUUGAUAGUCUAUCCUGAUACAAGUAUGAGUCUGAUUCCACGGCUAGAUACUAUGAAUUUCCUAUCUCUGAUAUUUAAUUAGUUAGUGAAGCCUCAACAACUACAUCUAUAGGGAAAAAGAAAACAGCCAAUAUAAAAAAAAAAGUAGUUCAGUGCACGAAGCAUUCCGUGUUCAUGUAUGAUUGCGGAAGGGCAGCACCUCGAGAGGUGUGAUAUAGGCAGCAUAUCCUAAUACAAGUAUCAGUGGUUAAUUCCAUUGCUCGAUAUCAUGAACUUCUCUUCUUUGAUAUUUAAUUAGUAAGUGAAGCCCCAACAACUGCAUCUAUAGGGAAAAAGAAAACAACCAAGAAGAAGAAUUCAUGCAAAACCCUACCAUCUGAACAAGCAUAACCACAAUACAAGAUUAGUCUUGCUCUUUUUCCUGCUUGAGAUAUAAUGUCGUCAGUCAGUUAAUCGCCCCAAAAAUAACACACGGGAGUAAGAUAUGGCUUUGAAUCUGGAGUUAAUGUCAAGAAAUUAACAUUUGAUUAGCUACAUGAUCAUGACCAACAAAUCAAGCGACAAUUAAUCAUUAGAACAUAGUAUAAUUCCUGGAAAUUUAGGGUUGAAAAUAUUGAUAAUAAUAAUAAUACUUAGCCAAUACACGAGGGGCAACAACAUAGAAUAGUAGAAGAUUAGAAUUUGGGUAAGAAACACAAAUUUACAUGAUCGUUGCCUUUAGAGUGAAAUUCCACUGCUAAUUUACUGCAAAUUUUAAUAUGACAUCCUACUGCAAUGAUAGAAUGAACCAUUUAAGGAUCAUUUAACUUUUACUCCAAUAGAAAUUCGGAAACUCUUUAAUCUCUAAGCUACUUUUAAAGAAACUUAGAAUAAAGAUAAUUGAUAUUUGGAAGGAGACUUAAAGAUCAAUCAAAGGAUAAAACUAAGCUUCUUGUAAGCAAAAAUAGGCAUAUAUAGGUAUUGAACAAUCGCCAACAUGCCUUUCAUGAAUGGACACAUUUUUGCAUAUGAUUAGAUGUGUCAUUAUAUUUAAUCAGAAACAUGCAUGUCUCCCUAAUUAAGGAUGUCAAUCUCUACUAGCUAAAAAUACCUUAUCAAAUAUAUGUGACUUAAUUUGGACAAUCAUUUGAUAUACUUUUCACAAAAUCUCAUUGUCUUUCAACCAACAGGCAAGUUAAACAAUGACUCACUCAAAAUAAAAACCUACAGCGUUUAUGUGAACAGUAUUCCUAUGAUUGGAAUUUGAUAUCCCAAUUAACAAGUCCUUCAAAAACCUUUUAAUUAGUAGGUUGAAUUUCAUGGUCAAGUAAAUUACACUUAACAGCAACAAUAUAAAUCCCAUUAUUUUGAACAAAAAGGAGGAAAUCUGCAAACAAUAUAAAUACAUUUAAAACAACAAUUGAAGCUAGGGAGGGGCUGAGGAUGAUGGCAGAAGACUAGAGAGCACAAAUGAUUAAGAUGCAGAAAGCUUCCAGUUAGCAUCAUAUCAUCAUCUGUGCUCUCUAUCUUCUGUCAACAACAUCUCCCACUUGCCUCCUUUCUUUUUAUACUUACAAUCAUACGUCAGUGGCAGAUCUAACAAUGAGUUCGCGAGUUUAGAAAAAUCUAGUACUUGAGGUUGAACCUGAAUAUAUGGAAGUAAAUAGAAACAAGUAUUUAUAUAUAUAUAUAUAUAUAUAUAUAUAUAUAUUUCAGAAUCGACCACAGUCAAUAUAUAAGCCAUAAUGUCUAAAUUCUCGAUUCACUGCGGAACAAUCAUAGUAAUAGUGAAUAUAGUUGAAGGAGAUAAAUGAAGAUUAUAGAGCACAGAGAGGAUAAAUCAAGGAC